GCCCGUGGCUAGGGGCAGGCUGUGAGAUCUUUUAGCGGCUGGACGCAGACGGUAGUACCGUUAUUGCUGCCGCUUCGCCUACCCAGGCGUAGACUUGGACCUCGUGGGAGAAAUUCCGGCUUGGCAGCGGACGGGUGAAAGGGCAGACCCUAUGUGGGCAAGGAGCACUGUGACAGAGGGAGAAGAGCAAGAGAGAAGAAACCACACGGUGGCUCUUAAAGUUGCUGUUUAGAAGAGAGACAUGUCAUUUCCACUCACAUUUCACUGCUUUUAUAGAUUGGUGAGGACAAAUUGGCAUAGUCUCAGGGUCAGAGUUUCCCUUCAACUUCCUCUCUCCUAAAAAGUCAUAUUGAAGAACUUCCCUGGCGGUCCCGUGGUUAAGAUUCUGUGCUUCCACUGCAGAGGUCAUGGGUUUGAUCCCUGGUCGGGAAACGAAGAUCCUGCAUGCCAUGUGAUGUGGCCAAAAUAAAUAAAUAAAUAAAUAAAUAAAUAAAUAGUCAUAUUUAAAAGAGUUCAAUGUAUGC